CAGGUUUGGCAGUUCACCAGAUAAUCACAAUCACUGUGUCUCUCAUUAUGGUUAUCGCAGCCUUGAUCACAACACUCGUCCUUAAAAACUGCUGUGCGCAGUCGGGAAAUGGCCGCCACAAUAGCCAUCAGCGCAAGAUCCACCAGCAGGAAGAGAGCUGCCAAAACCUGACAGACUUCACCCCGGCCCGGGUGCCAAGCAAGGUGGACAUAUUCACUGCCUACAAUGACAGCCUGCAGUGCUCACAUGAGUGCGUCCGGACUGCCGUGCCAAUCUACACUGAUGAGAUGAUCCAGCAGACGCCUGUCUACAAGACUGCUUACAAUGGAAACAGGCCCUCCCCCACUGAAAGACAACUAAUUCCUGUGGCCUUCGUGUCAGAGAAAUGGUUUGAGAUCUCUUGUUGACAAGCUGAAGGCCUUCUUCACUUCCUCUGGGUGGAAGACACUUCCUGAAUUCACACUCUGGAUCCAGUUGGAAACACACAAAACAGCUUCUUUUGUAAAAUAGUGCGAUCACUCUUUGGACACUGGUGAAGAUAUUUAUUUUUCUAGAGAUGACAAGCAGAGCAGCAACAACGCUGCCACACAAUAUUUCCAGGAACGUACAGUCAUUUAGAUAUAGAUUAUAUAUAGGUAUAUUUACAGGAUGUGUGGGACUUUUGGACGUCACAGAUGUCUCAAGGACAACAUUUGACAUUUGAAAAAAAACCCAAGGAGCUUCUGUGGGUGGAAGGUGAACUGUAAUUCUGAACAAUGUGCCAAUAAUGCCACUAUGUGCCACAACCUGGAUAGAAGGAAGUUUCAACAACUGAUGGACUAAACAAAGAGCGCUAUAUUAACCCUGUAUCGACUCCAACUACUUUUUUUUUGUGUUUUAAAGAAAUGUGAAAGAUUAAAAAACGCUACAAAUGUAUUUGAAUAUGUUUUGAAAUAGUUUUAAGAUAUGUGUUGAUAAAGAGUCUAAAAAGAUAUUUAUAUGAAGCACUAUUCUAUUAGUUUGGGAAGAGAGGGGGGGAAAAAAGAAACGGUAUAUGCUUUAGCGAACAGUUGAUUUUAAAACAUGGUUUAUAUAGGUCCCAUUUUAAAAACAGAAUAGUUAUGUCUAUUUUUUUACACAGUAGAUUCAAACGGUGAAGGUCCCUAGCACCUGGGAUUCAGCGCUGUUAAUUAAAUACCCGAAUAGAGAUUAGAAGAAAGAAAAAGCAUAUGAAUACACCUCAUGCAAUCCAACCCAACACCCGCUCCAAUCGCUUAUUAUGUAAGAUUUGUACCUGAUUUGGCUUAAUGGAAAAACAGACAAAAGGGUUCUGUAGUAAAGGAACAAAUCCAAUAGCAGCAAAUUCACGAAUAGCUAGAGUAAGUACAGCCACAACAGACUGUAUAGAGCUGGGCAGGACAUUCAUACUGCCUCAGGUCUGUCUAGCUCUCUUGCACACUUUAUGUUGGUCUCAGUUUCAGCAGCUGUUCGGGUACAUUCUAAUGAACCGUUAUGAUUUAAAAGGGUGGAAGAGAUUCAAUUCAAGCCUGUAAAUUCAUGUGAUAAUUUGCAUUAAAGGGACAGAGAUUGAAAAAUGUAUCUUUCCACAGAGACUAAAUGAUUAUUCCCACGCAACCACCAAGAUUAACUUUUGAUACAUUAUUUUAUGAAGCCUAAAAAAGUCUGUAUUAAAGUCAGAAAGUCAAGAUGAACAUGAACCAAUUUGUAGUUGAUGGAACAUCCAGUUUUCAAAUGAGAGUGUCGAUCAGGAUCAAAUGAUCUACGACGUCGAUUUUAAACCCUAGCAAGGGAAGAAUUCCCUCGCCCAAAUGUGAGGUAGGGGCCAGUUACAUUUCUCCAAUCAGCACUUGAGGACAAUAUUUCUAGCAAAUCAGAAUUUGCUAUUACAGCCAAGAAGUUGUGGGUUGUGCACACAAAUAAAUGUAGGCUGUAGGAAGCAGAGCGCAAACACAAUACGAAUAAGUAGUACAUGUUGUCCUCUCAAUCUCAAAACACUCUGUCAGUGUAUUACUGAAGUAAGGGGAUUAUGACAAGCCAAUCAGCUGCCGCCAAAUUGCUUUAAACUAUCUCCUAUGUCAAGGUUAGGGGAACCCUUGGUCAGGAAAGACAGUAAAUCGCUCCUGAGAGCUUUCCACCCCCAAUAAUUGUAUUAUCAACCUCCAGCUCUGACAGACCGAUUACCUUUGUGCUCCAAAAGCUCUUGAGGAAACCACCUUUGAAUCUAUCUUUCAUUGUGCUGUGGGUUUGUACAAAGCACAAAUACAAUUCAGAAAUUGUAAACGUUUCUUGGCUGCAGACAGCAAUAUGUACUGAUUAAAGCGGUGGGUUUUAUUUCCGCGACGACAGCGGAUCUCCCGUAAUUCGCUUCGGUUGUUUCAAGGCUCACCUCCUUAAAGAAUUCAAGGUUGUCCCGGAAGGAUCAGUAUCGGUAAAUGUGAGCCAUUCAGGAUGUGCCAACACGGCCUGGGAUAAACACUGUGGUGCAAAAUUCACGAUUUUUGCCCAUUCACAACAUGAUAACCACUCUCAUGAAUGACCCAUACCAAGUCAGCCUCACAUGUGUGUGUGUCAGGCUGCAGCGUUGCUUCUUUGACAUAACAUAUAUUUUUUUGAAUGAAGAGUGCUAUCUUACUAGUCAGAGGGUUACGAAAACUUAUUGUAUAUUAUACACGUGUAAAUGUAUUUUCUAUAUAUUUGCUUCUAUUUGUGUACAGGUGUGUUCUAUUUUUCAGGACCUCUCCCAUUUCUGGGAAGGUUUUCAGCUAGGUCGGGGAUAGUGUCUUUGUUUACAUGUGUAACUACAGUAUUUCUUUUAAAAACACAAAACUAACAUUGUGCCAAGCUUCCUACCUGCACUUUCAAGCAGUACUUGUAUUAUAUCUUUAGCUAACCAGUAUAAUACUUCAGUAGACGCUGCAAUAGUUCAGAGGCUGGGGAGUGAUUUCCAGGAGGAAUGUCUGAAAGUACUGAAGGAUUCGAAGAGGUGUGAUCAUAUCUUGGGUUCUGCUGCAUUCAUGGUUGGCUGGGAAACCAAUUACUUUCUGUUCUUAUCAUUUCUACAUGGAUUCUAAUAUGAAGUGUUUCAUCACAUAAAUUAAAAAAACAAAACAGUGUUAAUCCAAUAGUAGCUGCCAAGAAACCGACUAAACUUGAUGUUACGUUCAUUUGUCAUAUUUUAUAUUUGUAUAUACAUAUUGCUACAACUGCCCCAUUAAAUGUAGGAUUUGCCACAUACUUGUUGUGACUGCAAAAACUAUAUAGCAUUUUUGAGUUCAUGAAAUCAUCAGGGAAAGAUGUUUAAAGAAAGAAUUGUGGGGGAAAAAUUGACCUUGUUAAAAAUGCAUACAUGAGUUUCGCACAAUUUUCGUAUUCAUAUUUCAACAUUAUAAAGUAUAGGCCUAAUUUGGGUUUAUUUCGACUUGGGUCUUACUGUCAGCCUUGACAUACACUGGCCUUGUCAGUCAACCCUCUGGUGCCAAUGGAAACAUGUAUUUGAUAGACUGCAAUGUUAGCAUCAAUUAGCUAAAAACACUAUGUGCUCAAAGAUCUGCUAGUAUAGCUUUCCAUUCUCAGGAAUAGUAGCCAAAGAAACACCAGUCCAACAGUUAUGGUGACUAGGAACACGUCAUCUUUGCUAAAAUGAAGUCCAAAGGGAUAAAGAUGCGUUAAAAUGUAUGCGUAUCAAGUCGAGCUGAGACUGGCGCCAGGACACAAAACUGCAGUCAAACAAAUGGUCACUUUCAGCCAAUUUCAAAAGACCCCUAUUUGUUUUACCUGACUUUGGAGCAGAUAUUAAAAUGUUUACAGUCUGGUGUAAAACAUGGUUUUGGUCUCUAUAGCAAACUUCCCUACUCAUGACAACAUCAAUUUACCCACUGUAAUGGUGACCCGAAAGGAAGUAAGAGAACAAGACCCAAGUUUUUAUAGACAAAAAUUAUGCUUUAAGCUUACAAAAUGAAGAUUGCGAUCUCUUUCAUCAAAAAUUGUACUUGUUGUUACCAAGUUUGUGUCAAUGUGACAUUGAAAAUGGUCAAAAUUGUAUACCAAGUCGAUGAUGAUUGUGUGAGACUGCUCUCUCAUUCUUACCACUUACUAAAUCUGAUUCAACUGAGAACAUUUUGACAUUCAUUCCUGUGUGUCAUACUAUGUGGUAAAACAUUAGCAGGUUUUACUUCAGUAAGUCUUGAAAAGCAUGUUUGCAUUGGUAGCAACACUCAUGAAAACCACAGGGAGCUGCCGGCUAAAACCAAUUGACUUUGCAUUUCUGAAGGACUUCUGGACAAGGAAAGAUAGAACUUGAAGCUAUGAAACACAUUUUAAAACAGGCUAUUGGUAGACAUAGGCAUACAUCCCCCUUCCUGCUUUUUACCUCUGUCUGAAAUCAAACUGAUACGUAAGGAAAUGCCUUACUGCUUUCUUGCCUUUUCAGUUUAUCUUCAAUGAUAGCCGAUGAUAGCGAUUUAUUAUAGCUAAGAGGGAGGAAAAUGAUUCCACUUGGCUGGUCAGAUUUGAUUCAGGAAACAGAGCAGUGCAGGCAAAAGACAGGGGGAAGGGUGCUUGUAAAAAAAAAAGAGUCUUAAACAGACAACAAAGACUAGACAUGCCUUUUUCACAACGAAUGAAUAUUUUUCAACUCCCGUUUCUGUCUCUUCAGCAGCCCGUGAAACCUAUGCUCCCAUCAGCACAAACAAGCUAUCAAUCAGCCAGGGUUUUCCUGUCAAGAUGAAGGAUGUGCCGUGCACUCAUUUGCAAGGACUGUGAUUCCUGUUUGCAUGUCAGAGAUACAGAGAGGAACCUAUUGACAUAUGGUUCUGAAUUAGAUAUCGGCUGAACAUCUCCAAGGCCGAGGUUUUGUUUAUUUUCCAUAUCAUUGGAAGCGUUCGCAAGAGGAGAGUAAUCAAUGUAUGGAUUACUCAGUUUGCCCUGGGGUGUCUCAUUAUGGUGCACACAUGUCCGCAUUAAUGUUACAUGUUGGUGAAUUUAAUUUCAAACAGAAGUCGAUAGGUUGCUCAAACAGCAGGGAGAAAGAUAAAUACAUGUUCUGACAACAAAAAAAGGAAAAAGUGUAUCUUUACAGUCCUAGAAGCGUAUACAACUAAAUCCACUCCGCUUCUCCUUAUUGUUCCAGAAAAAUCACAUACUGUGCGCUUACUGUAAAGCGGAUGGCUUGGACUCUCCUUUGGGCCAUGUUGUUACUUUUUUAUUCAAAAAAGCUAAGGCGCUGUCAGUGCGUAUCAAUCAAUGAAAAAAUUCUCACUUUGGUUGCAACAUCUCAAUUUUCCCAUAAUCCCCCUGUUCAAUGGAGUCUAGCUGUGUGACCCAAAUCUGACAUAUUUGACAUUGCACAAUGUCUUCAGAAUAGAGAGUUAGCCUGGAAUGAGUGACACGGCAAGGAAAUAUUGAUGCAUUGCUCCUCGAGAGUUGAUCAAAUCAAUUUGGACAUUGCUGUCCAAAAAAAAAAACACUACAUUUUCAGGGCUGAGGAAGUUGUACAAGUUUUUUGUUUCCUUUUUUAGGGAAUGGGGGGGGUCUUUUGACAUGUGGGCACACAAGUGGUCUGUUCAUCGAAGCCGACUUACAAUCACAAUCCAUCCCCACCAUGAAGAAGCUGACUCGAGUUGUGUUGUCGCCAUAAAAAUGAAGAGUUUGUACUUUGUGACUCUUACAUUUUUUAUAUUUGUGUUUAAUAUAUCAAUGAGUACCUCUGUUAACUUUUGUAUAAGACCUAUAGUAUAUACAAACACACAUGCACACACAACACACCUCCACAAAAGGGACUCCAGUCUGUCUCUGUGACGGCUAAAUGUUGUGUACAUUUUAUUUCGUGUCCUAUGAACCACAUCUCUUCCUUUUGUAGUUAUUGGUAAACGUUUCGAUUUCCAGGUGACUUUGAUUUGGUUACUCUUGUACUACUAAGCUCUGUAUUUGCAAGCACUGUAAAUGCGAUUCUCAUUGGAUUCGUCCUCUGUACAUUUAGUACUCUGAUGUUGCUAUUAAUAAAAUGUAAAAAAACA